rnacentral:rRNA from 1 species
CCUACGGGUGACAGCAGUGGGGAAUAUUGCACAAUGGGGGAAACCCUGAUGCAGCGACGCCGCGUGAGUGAAUAAGUCAUUCCUUAUGUUAAGCUCUAUCAGCAGGGAAGCAAAUGACGGUACCUGAGUAAGAAGCCCCGGCUAACUACGUGCCAGCAGCCGCGGUAAUACGUAGGGGGCAAGCGUUAUCCGGAUUUACUGGGUGGAAAGGGAGCGUAGACGGCAGUGCAAGGCUGGAGUGAAAGGCGGGGGCUCAACCCCCGGACUGCUCUGGAAACUGUACGGCUGGAGUGCAGGAGAGGGAAGGGGAAUUCCUGGUGUAGCGGUGAAAUGCGUAGAUAUCAGGAGGAACACCAGUGGCGAAGGCGGCUUACUGGACUGUAACUGACGUUGAGGCUCGAAAGCGUGGGGAGCAAACAGGAUUAGAUACCCUAGUAGUC